CCAAAGAAGAUUAACAUUUGAGUCAGUGGACUGGGAGCUGCAGAUCCACCCUCAAUCUGGGUGAGCACGGGCUAAUCAACUGCCAGUGCAGCUAGGAUAAAGGCAGGCAGAGGAAUGCGGAAGGACUAGACUGGCUAAGUCUUCUGGCCUCCAUCUUUCUCCCAUGCUGGAUGCUUCCUGCCCUUGAACAUCAGACUCCAAGUUCUUCAGCUUUUGGACUGUUUGACUUACACCAGUGAUUUGCCAGGGGCUCUUGGGCCUUCAGCCACAGACUGAAGGCUGUACUGUCAGCUUCCCUACUUUUGAGAUUUUGGGACACGUACUGGCUUCCUGGCUCCUCAGCUUGCAGACGGCCUAUCAUGGUACUUCACCUUGUGAUCAUGACCACUGGUAUAGCUUGCCUGGUGGUGGACUUGGAGGAUACCAUUGCAUCAGGGCAUUUCUCCACAUGAUAGCUCCUGCCUGCUGGACAGGUCCUCUCUUGACUAUGUGUAUUCUCCAGAGAAGCAGGCAGAAUGAACAUUCUGGAAAAUUUAUGUCCUUGUGUAGAAGGCUAGAAAAAAAAAAGAAGAAAAAAGAAACUCUCAGCCUGAAGGCCUACGUAAAACACAAAGCACUUCUGAAAUCUUUUUGGGGGGCCAAAAUCACACCAAGCAAUGCCUGUGGAAGUGAAUGUAAUCAAGUAUUGCCCUACCAUCUUUCAGCACAACCACAUUAGAAUCUCCUUUAAAGUUUUUCCCACCUUCCCCAGCUCUAAUUGAUCCCCUCAAAACUAUGCUAAAUUUUUAGUAUUCCUAGUCACCUUCCGUAAGAUUGGAGCUAAUUCUGACAAAUAAUCUCUGAAUGAAAAGCCAUUCUACCAGAAAUACCACAUUUCUGGUAGAAAUGUUGGGAGCAUUUUUUUUCUUUUGCUUUCUCUUUUUUCUACUUUCGUUCUUUCAGUGAACUUAGUAGAUAUUAAUCCCUGGAGAGAUUAUUUUAGUUGGUAUCUGAAUUUUAAGGUAACUUUCAGUGCUUGAAAUCUAUCAUAACUAUGUCUUCUAAUUUCGUAGAAUCUUGGUCUCAGAACCUUAAGUUUUUACACGCAUUCUGCUUCAUUGCUAGAGAGCUGAAGAAAGAGGAAUCCCUACUCUGUCGCCCCACACUUUCUAUGUCCCAGGCAAAUAGCAACAGCUCAG
rnacentral:lncRNA from 10 species